rnacentral:rRNA from 1 species
UAAGGAAUAUUGGUCAAUGGACGCAAGUCUGAACCAGCCAUGCCGCGUGGAGGAUGAAGGUCCUCUGGAUUGUAAACUUCUUUUAUCUGGGACGAAACACUUCUUUUCUAAGAGGCCUGACGGUACCAGAUGAAUAAGCACCGGCUAACUCCGUGCCAGCAGCCGCGGUAAUACGGAGGGUGCAAGCGUUAUCCGGAUUCACUGGGUUUAAAGGGUGCGUAGGUGGGUAUGUAAGUCAGUGGUGAAAUCCCCGAGCUUAACUUGGGAACUGCCAUUGAUACUAUAUAUCUUGAAUACCGUAGAGGUAAGCGGAAUAUGUCAUGUAGCGGUGAAAUGCUUAGAUACGACAUGGAACACCAAUUGCGAAGGCAGCUUACUAUGCGGUGAUUGACACUGAGGCACGAAAGCGUGGGUAGCAAACA